UACGGGGGGAGCAAGCGUUGUUCGGAUUUACUGGGCGUAAAGGGCUCGUAGGCGGCCAACUAAGUCAUACGUGAAAUCCCUCAGCUUAACUGGGGAACUGCGUGUGAUACUGGAUGGCUUGGAUUUGGGAGAGGGAUGCGGAAUUCCAGGUGUAGCGGUGAAAUGCGUAGAUAUCUGGAGGAACACCGGUGGCGAAGGCGGCAUCCUGGACCGACACUGACACUGAGGAGCGAAAGCCAGGGGAGCAAACGGG
rnacentral:rRNA from 1 species